AUUGAACGCUGGCGGAAUGCUUUACACAUGCAAGUCGAACGGCAGCACGGACUUCGGUCUGGUGGCGAGUGGCGAACGGGUGAGUAAUGUAUCGGAACGUGCCCAGUCGUGGGGGAUAACGUAAUGAAAAUUACGCUAAUACCGCAUACGAUCUAUGGAUGAAAGCGGGGGAUCGCAAGACCUCGCGCGAUUGGAGCGGCCGAUAUCAGAUUAGGUAGUUGGUGGGGUAAAGGCCCACCAAGCCAACGAUCUGUAGCUGGUCUGAGAGGACGACCAGCCACAGUGGAACUGAGAGACGGUCCAGACUCCUACGGGAGGCAGCAGUGGGGAAUUUUGGACAAUGGGCGAAAGCCUGAUCCAGCCAUUCCGCGUGCAGGAUGAAGGCCCUCGGGUUGUAAACUGCUUUUGUACAGAACGAAAAGGUUUCUACUAAUACUAGGAGCUCAUGACGGUACUGUAAGAAUAAGCACCGGCUAACUACGUGCCAGCCGCCGCGGUAA
rnacentral:rRNA from 1 species